GGAUGUGGGGCGCAUUCACCACGGUGUGUCACAUUUUAAAAUUCUGGGAGGAUUGACAGAUUGAGAGCUCUUUCUUGAUUCGGUGGAUGGUGGUGCACGUCCGUUCUUAGUUGGUGGAGCGAUUUGUCUGGUUAAUUCCGAUAACGAACGAGACUCUAGCCUAUUAAAUAGGUCCGUGGUUCUCUGCACCUUUCAACCUUCUCAGAGGGACAAGCGGCUCCUAGCCGCACGAAACAGAGCAAUACCGGGUAUGUGAUGCCUUUAGAUGUCCGGGGCCGCACGCGCGCUACACUGAAGGAAGCAGCGUCUUUUUAUCCCUGUCUGUUAAAAGGGUAAGCUGGGAAAAGUGACUCGACCAAAUACAGAGGGCUAAUUGAACUCCAUCGGAUUACCCCGGAGCA
rnacentral:rRNA from 1 species